GUGCCAGCAGCCGCGGUAAUACGGAGGAUGCAAGCGUUAUCCGGAUUUACUGGGUUUAAAGGGUGCGCAGGCGGAACGAUCAGUCAGUGGUGAAAUCUCCCGGCUUAACCGGAAAACUGCCAUUGAUACUAUCGUUCUUGAGUCCAGUUGAAGUAGGCGGAAUGUAGCAUGUAGCGGUGAAAUGCUUAGAUAUGCUACAGAACACCGAUAGCGAAGGCAGCUUACUAAACUGAAACUGACGCUCAGGCAC
rnacentral:rRNA from 1 species